GGAAUAUUGCACAAUGGGGGAAACCCUGAUGCAGCGACGCCGCGUGAGUGAAGAAGUGUUUCGGCACGUAAAGCUCUGUCAGCAGGGAAGAUAAUGACGGUAGCAUAGGAGGAAGCUCCGGCUAACUACGUGCCAGCAGCCGCGGUAAUACGUAGGGAGCAAGCGUUGUCCGGAUUUACUGGGUGUAAAGGGUGCGUAGGCGGGCUUGCAAGUCAGAAGUGAAAUCUAUGGGCUUAACCCAUAAACUGCUUUUGAAACUGUAAGUCUUGAGUGAAGUAGAGGUAGGCGGAAUUCCCGGUGUAGCGGUGAAAUGCGUAGAGAUCGGGAGGAACACCAGUGGCGAAGGCGGCCUACUGGGCUUUAACUGACGCUGAGGCACGAAAGCGUGGGUAGCAAACAGA
rnacentral:rRNA from 1 species